GCCCUAGGACUAACCAAGAAAACACUUACUAACUCUACAUUAUUGAGUCAUAAAGGUUACACAGAAUCACAGCAUCACAGGUGUUGGGAGGGUCCUUGAGAGAUCACUGAGUCCAACCCCAUGCUAAAGCAGUUACCCUACAAUAGGUUGCGCAGCCCUCCCCUCUCUUGUCUCUCCUCUCAUUCCAUUGCCCCUUACCCACCUGGAUGAAGAAAGCCGUAUGAGUGCUCCUCAAGCAGCUAUCUACUCCCACCUCUUCUCCAGCUACAUGUGGACUACAUAGUUGGAGCCUUUCUGGCCUUCUGUCUCCUGAGGAAACAGUGUUCUGGGGACUUUAAUGAAGAAAGAAUUCAACAUUUCUAUCAGUUUGCACAUGCUUGAAGUUAAGCAGAAGCUUAAAUAAUACAAGUGGUUUGCAAAAUCAGGGCCUAAUUCUGGCAGAGGAUUAUGCAUUGAUAGUUUAAGUUCUCCCUCCCAAAGAGCUAUAUAAAGUCCCUCUGCAGGCCCAGGUUCUGAAGCAAUGGUGCCAGAAUCAUCCCUGGAAUUAUACUGGUUAGGCUUCCAAAAACAGUUCUGGAAAGAAAACAGUCUGAGAGCACAGCAGAUGAUUUUGAUUAAAAAGAAUAUGUUCCUAAAAGUAAAUUUACAGAGACUCUUAAAAAGCGCUACGGUGUUGUUAACUACUAAAACAAAAUGUGAAAGAAAGACACCUUCAAAGAUAACACACACUUACAGCUAUGAAUUACCUGACAGCUUUCUCAAAGAAAAUAGGCCCUGAAUAAAAAACAGAGAUAGUGAGGGGCAGUA